rnacentral:lncRNA from 1 species
UUUUCUUGUGUUCUCCUUCAAGACGACGACGACUGCGUUCAUGAAAGAGGCCUCUCCACCGUUCAAUCGGCGUCUCCACCGUUCAAUCGACGUCUCUUCCGUUUAAUCGGCGUCUCGUCUGUGCAAUUGACGUCUCCUCCGUGCAAUCGACGUCUUCUCUGACUUUCCCUUGUCUCGUCUGCUCCGCCGCUAAAAGGCGUCUCCUUCACUGGUCUUCUCCGUCGCGAAGGAAAGUGAUUGAUUAGGUGGUGAUUAGAUGAUGCCACCCCAUCUCCUCUAUCUUCUGAUCGGUGAGAUCCUUUUGAUAUUCACACUUAAUACGAUUGAUUAGGUGGUGAUUAGAUGAUGAGAUUGAACCUUGAUUUGAAUUUUUUUAGGGAGGAGGCAGAUGGGGUCCGAUCCUUGUUGGCUAAUUACGUGGUGAUAGAUGAUGAGAUUGAACCUUGUUGGCUAAUUAGUGAGGCUUGUUCUUGUUCUUGUUAAAAACAAGUGUUCUGUUUUCAUUUAAGUUAAAAUGUUGGCUAAUUAGUGUCGCUUGUUCUUGUUGUGGUUUCCGUUUAAGUGGCUUGUUCUUGUUCUCUUUUAAUUGUGUUGUUGCUUUAAGUGUAUUGUUCUUGUAAGGAAGAAUCUCUGUUGGUGUUGUGUAAUGAAGAGUCUCUGUUGUUGCUUUAACUGUAUUGAUCUUGUUAUAUUUUUUUGUGCUCUUUUCUUGUGUGUAAAUGCAGGUAACAUGCACAAGACGAGUUAUGAGCUUGGAAGAGAUGAGUUGGAGGAGAUGAGUCAUGAACCCCUAAUUUUAUUUUUUUAAAAACCCCUAAUUAAGAAACUUCCAAUAAAGCAUAAAAUCUAUGGGAUUCUUAACUACAUUUCUUAAAUAACUUUUAUUCUUAAAUUAAUCACUAAGAAACCCAAAUGGGGUUAUAGCAAUAAUGGUGCUCU